UACCCAGUUUCGUGUCCCAAACGGGGUCCUUGGUGCCUGGGAGGCCGUGUUGCUGAGCAGAUGGCAGUGUCAUGGGCGGUGCUUCUGGUGGAGAAAAGACGGAGUGCUUGGAUGAUUAAGCAAAGAAACAUCAGGAUAGGAAACCUAAGGUGGAGCCAGAAACAAGGUCAUUGCUGAGCUUGUAUGCUGUGAGUUCUACAGUAUUUGAUGGACAUGGAUAUUUGGUCCUCAGCAGCCACUACAGACUGGCAGUCAGGAAAUGGUAAUUGAAGCUGCUCCCUUGGACCCAGAGAUGGAAGCUUCAGAUUGAGGAUGGCAGAGCUGCUCAAACUUCCUGAACUGUUGGAUGAGACAGAAAUGAACUUCUCUUUUAUUUAAGCCUCUGGAUUUUGGGUCUCUUUGUUAUACCAACUUUCCUGUAACCUAACUAAAAGAUCUAUAUGCAGGGCCAAUUUGUGCCCUAAAAUAUUCUGGUUGACAUCUCCCCCCAAAGCCUAGAUCUACUCCCUGAAGACUAGAGAGAGCUGCAUGAGAGCAGAGCUCAAGACAUUGUGGUUUGUUUAAACUAUGACUCCUUGGAAAGUUAAGAAAUGGAGUUCAUUGCAGUAGCUGGGAGAACAUCACCAAGAAAUUCACCAUUAAAUGUUUUGUUGUUGCUGAUUGUGUAACUUCUUAUUUUGAAAUAAUU